AUCACUCCUACGGGGAGGCAGCAGUGGGGAAUAUUGCACAAUGGGCGCAAGCCUGAUGCAGCCAUGCCGCGUGUGUGAAGAAGGCCUUCGGGUGUAAAGCACUUUCAGUUGUGAGGAAGGUGGUGUCGUUAAUAGCAUAUUCAUUUGACGUUAGCAACAGAAGAAGCACCGGCUAACUCCGUGCCAGCAGCCGCGGUAAUACGGAGGGUGCGAGCGUUAAUCGGAAUUACUGGGCGUAAAGCGCAUGCAGGUGGUUUGUUAAGUCAGAUGUGAAAGCCCGGGGCUCAACCUCGGAACUGCAUUUGAAACUGGCAGACUAGAGUACUGUAGAGGGGGUAGAAUUUCAGGUGUAGCGGUGAAAUGCGUAGAGAUCUGAAGGAAUACCGGUGGCGAAGGCGGCCCCCUGGACAGAUACUGACACUCAGAUGCGAAAGCGUGGGGAGCAAACAGGAUUAGAUACCCUGGUAG
rnacentral:rRNA from 1 species